GACGUAGGAGGCGAGCGUUGUCCGGAUUCAUUGGGCGUAAAGAGCACGCAGGCGGUUUGGCAAGUCGGAUGUGAAAACCCGGAGCUCAACUCCGGGCGUGCAUCCGAUACUGCCCGACUAGAGGUAGGUAGGGGAGAUCGGAAUUCCUGGUGUAGCGGUGAAAUGCGCAGAUAUCGAGAGGAACACCUGCGGCGAAGGCGGGUUGCUGGGCUGACACUGACGCUGAAGCGCGAAAGCUAGGGGAGCGAACGGG
rnacentral:rRNA from 1 species